rnacentral:rRNA from 1 species
UACGUAGGCAGCAAGCGUUGUUCGGAAUUACUGGGCGUAAAGGGUGCGUAGGCGGCUUUUUAAGUUUGGUGUGAAAUCUCCCGGCUCAACUGGGAGGGUGCGCCGAAUACUGAGAAGCUAGAGUGUGGGAGAGGAAAGUGGAAUUCCUGGUGUAGCGGUGAAAUGCGUAGAUAUCAGGAGGAACACCGGUGGUGUAAACGGCUUUCUGGACCAUAACUGACGCUGGAGGCACGAAAGCGUGGGGAGCGAACAGG